rnacentral:rRNA from 1 species
CGUCUAUAUACGUAUAGCAUAUCAAUAAGCGGAGGAAAAGAAACUAACAAGGAUUCCCCUAGUAACGGCGAGUGAAGCGGGAAGAGCUCAAAUUUGAAAUCUUCAAGGGUUUCCCUUGACGAAUUGUAGUUUAAAGAAGUGUUUUCUGUUAGAGAGGUGGUAAAAGUUCUUUGGAAUAGGACAUCAUAGAGGGUGAGAAUCCCGUAUUUGACCACUUUCUACUAACGUUGUGUUACACUUUCAAAGAGUCGGAUUGUUUGGGAAUGCAGUCCAAAAUGGGUGGUAAAUUUCAUCUAAAGCUAAAUAUUGGCGAGAGACCGAUAGCGAACAAGUACCGUGAGGGAAAGAUGAAAAGAACUUUGAAAAGAGAGUUAAACAGUACGUGAAAUUGUCAAAAGGGAAGCGUUUGACACCAGUGUUGUUUUUCCGAAAAUCAAUUAAGAAUGGCCGGAUUUUAAGUUUCAUGACCUUAAAAGCUUGUUUCUUAUUUUUCUUGUCUUUCUUAAUGCACUUUUCGGUUAACAAGUCAACAUCAAUUUCUUUUGUUGUAAAAGGUUAAGAGGAAGGUGGCUUUACUUUCGGGUAAAGUGUUUAUAGCCUUUUAACUCUGCAAUCGGAGAGAUUGAGGUCUGCAGCGUAGAUCCUUCGGGGCUAGAUACGUUUGUGCUAAGUUAUAGCUUUUCAUAGACAACUUGUUGACUAUGUUUAGUCUUGUAGCUUACUCGCAUGCGCUAUUUUACCUACGCUUAGGAUGUUGACACACGCGCGUGCUCG